rnacentral:lncRNA from 1 species
AUGUGCUGUGCAUGCCUGUUUAUCUCGCCAUUUUUUUCUUUCUUCAUUCUAGGUUACACUUGACCAUCUUAGAAACCAAGAUUUUCCCUUUCUUUUUUCUCCUCAUGUUGUAUCUAAGCUUGAGAAGCAUUGGGAGAUUAGGGUGUGCUAUCUUCUUUGAAGUCUUAACCUAACCUAUGAAGCCACGGGCGGUGGAAUGGAGAGCAAGUUCAAGCAACAUCAAAGUGAGCCGUCAAGAGAUCAAGCUAAUGGCGGCUGCUGGAUCUAGAACUGGUGGAUUCCCUUUUUAAGAGUAGGUAUUUUGUGGUGCUAGUAAAAUACUUUUUCUACUUUAGUUGGUAGUAAAAUUUCAAAUCAAUGAUCAAGAUUCUUAUAACCAUAAUUAUAGUGGUAGUAGAAUAUU